CGCAUCCUAUUAAAGUGCUUAGAUUAACCGGUUUUGAAAAACAUCUAAUGGAAUGUCUAUCUUAUCAUUUGGCGGUUUUAUUCAACCCUGAUCAGCUCAAGACUAGACAAGAAGCUACUUUUCUAGGAAACAAGAGACGCACAGGACAAAAAUAUAAUCUGACUUUAACCAUUCACAAACACCGCGGACUCCAAUCGACUCAAUCUCUAACAUGCGAAAAAUACUAUUAUCAAGGAUCGUCGACACCUGGAUUCAGAUCGGCUGCUGAAAAUACACCUAAAUUUUUCCCGUUGUCACCGACGAGCUCGUAAGAAUUAGUGCCUCUUCUAGAAACCACUGUGCAUGGAACAUACGCUGGACCUAAUUUGGCAUUAUAGGCGUUUCCUGCGGAAGAUAGUGCAAAAUUUCUACGGAACACAUUCUGACCAACAUGGCUUUCGCAAGAUUUCGACGAACAAUUUCGAAAAUGGAUUGGUCAAUAUUCCGUUUACGGUUUACUCGGUCUGAAGGCGAUAUUUCAUCUGUAUCCACCUCCCGAAGAUGCUCGUCUCCAUUCGAAACUAUUUCAUGCCCGAAUAGUACCCGGUAUGGAGUGAAUCCGGUGGACGCAUGAACGGUACGGAUGCAAGCAUUUAUGCUUCGGUUCAGUCUCUCUACGGGAUUAGCUUGGCUGUGGUGACGUGCAUUGGUCCAAUGUUUCACAUGAAAUCUCUCAAGGAAGGUUUGGAAUUCUUUGCUAACGAAGCUUGAUGCAUUAUCAGAAAUCAAAAUUUCUGGCACCGAAAAUUUACGGAACCACUGCUCUUCGAGAAGUUUAGUGGUCAAACUGGCUGAAAUUUUUCGAACAGGAAUAAGGACUGUCCACUUCGAGAAGAGAUCAAGCAUCACCAAAAGAUGAGCGUUUCCCGAUUUGCUACGGGGCAAGGAUUGAUGUUGUGAUGUAUUGGACGGCUUACUCACCUUACAGGUGACACAAUUACGGACAUAUUUCUGGACUGUAGAAGACAUUUUGGGCCAAAAAUACAGUUUUUUAAUUUU